UCCCAGGUGCCUGGCAGGGGUUCAGAGGUUCUCCAGUGAGCGUCACAGGGCUGCUGCGGAGGUCAGUGGCAGAAGCACCAGCAUCUUUUAUGAAGCAUGAGAGCUCCUGACUGAAUUCCUGAUGGUGCAGUGAUUGUAUUUCCGGCAUGGUGGGUCACUGAAGAGACCUCAGGGGCUCCAGAAUCUCCACUCCUCCGGUGACCUCUCUGGCUCUCAGCUGGCACUUGUCCUGUUUCAAGCCAACCUCAGAUGCCAACAGUGUAGAACGAAGUGGCGUGUCACUGUGGGCUUGAAGUAUCUUUUCAAAUAGAUCAUGGCAUUUUAAAAUCAGGACAAUGUUUGGACUGUGGAUCUGAGCUGAACACUUUCUCUGAGGAAGAAAAUGAAGACACAGAACCUGAAAUCUCUGGUCAUCUUUGCUGUUCCUAAUAGCCAUGAGUUGAGGGAGCAAGUUCUAGAAAAUGAAAAGAGGAAAUCAGGAAGCAGAACAGGUGCUGAGUGUUGUAAGGAGAACUGGAGUCUGGGCUCUCACCCCAGUGAGGACCAUCGCCGAGGGACCAAGGCCGGCUGCAGUCACCCCGUUUCCAUCUGGCUGCACCCAUGCCUGCUUCGCUCUGGUGGUGUUUGUUGUUGAUGAUAAUCUUUCUGCCUGACGUGCAUUGGUGUCCAUGGCAACAGGGUCUGUCUUCCCUUGAAUCUCCAAGAAGCCAUGCAGGGUACCAGACACCUUAAAGUCACACAGAACCACAGUGACUGUCUUAAUUAGGGUUUCAUUGCCGUGACAACUCUUACUAGGAAAACAUUUAGUUGGGGUGGCUUACAGUUCAGAGGCUUACAGUCCAUUGUCAUCAUGGCAGACAUGGUGCUGGAGAAGGAGCUGAGAGUUCUACACCGGGAACUCAGGCAGCAGGAAAGAGAGUGGGCGUGAAAGCCCACACACGGGGACACACCUCCUCCCACAAGGCCACGCCUCCUCUCACAAGGCCACACCUCCUCCCACAAGGCCACACCUCCC